UACGUAGGCAGCGAGCGUUUGUUCGGAGUUACUGGGCGUAAAGCGUGCGUAGCGGUGCCAUAAGUCUGUUGUGAAAUCUCCCGGCUUAACUGGGAGGGUGCGGUGGAAACUGUGGUGCUGGAGUGUGGGAGAGGUAGGCGGAAUUCCUGGUGUAGCGGUGAAAUGCGUAGAUAUCAGGAGGAACAGCCUGUGGUGUAGACGGCUUACUGGACCAUGACUGACGCUGAGGCACGAAAGCGUGGGGAGCGAACAGG
rnacentral:rRNA from 1 species